GUUUAGACAGCAGUAGUAGUUCCCUAGGAGAGUUUAUUGAUGAGACAGCCUCUGCAAGAUUUUAAAAGUUUUGUUCUUUUAUAGACUGAUUUAGAAAAACAGAUAAUUAAUAAAAAGAAUAUAUGCAUUUGUUGGUAACUGAUUUUUAAACCUGGACCUUUCUGGAAGGGCAGCAUAUAAAAACAUCAGUCCCAAGGAGGGGACGACAAUACUACCUCACUACUACACCUGCAAUGACUGGUUGUUCAAACACAAUGGAGUGUCCAGGUUUGUAUUGUGCCGUCUACAAGUGGCAUAAACACAGGAACCCCUUUCCCUGUUCCUGGCCUGUGGACCUUUCUGUGAGGCAUGGGGUAGCAGGAGAGAACAACAAUGACAACGCCCUUUCAGGCUCCCUCUUCUCAUGAACAGCUCCCUCUACAGCACAGAGAACAGUCUCUCCAGGCCUCUCUGGAAAGCAGCAUUUUAAAUUGCCUCACACCAGCUCCUGUCUAGAGUCCAGCCGAACAACAGAAGGAAAGUUCACCUUUACCAGUAACCCAAGAAUUUCUAACUAGGGAAAAAAUGGUGCCAUUUUUUUCUACUGGAUCACCUCCCGCUCCAGCGAAGAUGAAAAGGCUAGCUAAUUCCAGUGCUGGCAUGGGUGUGAGCAAGCUGACAAUGGGUAGGCUGUUGUUGGGAUUAUAGACCAAUAAAACCUCACUGGAUAAUAGUUUAGCAUUACAGAUUUUUUUAAACCCUUUAACGUAUAUGCUUACAUUUUACCCAUCAAUCCAAAUCUGUCAGCUUAUUCUCAAAAAAUAACCAUACAAGUUGUAAAAUGUAUAUUAAAAGAUAAUGAUCAUGUCUGUUUUAAUAUGAAUAAAUUAAAAGAGCACAUAAAUACAAAAUUAUAUUUAAAACUGGCUAACUUCGUUUUAGUACAUCUAUCUAAUGGGCUGCAUGAAUACAUUAGCAGCGUAUGAAAGGAAUAUUUAUUGAUGUGGAAACAUCUACUUCCUAUAUUACAGCAGGCAGUGUAAGCCUGAUGUCUGCUUUGGUAGCAUCUUAGUGGGGCACAGAUUGUAUGGAAACAGAAAGUUCAUUUUAGCACAACAGCUAUGGGUCAGGAUUUUUUGUGGGCUGUUCUUGAGUAGAGUUAAACAGUUUUUGAGAAGCAAGCCAGAGUGUCUCUGAAGAGAACAGAG
rnacentral:lncRNA from 10 species